rnacentral:rRNA from 1 species
UACGAAGGGGGCUAGCGUUGCUCGGAAUCACUGGGCGUAAAGCGCACGUAGGCGGCUUCUUAAGUCAGGGGUGAAAUCCUGGAGCUCAACUCCAGAACUGCCUUUGAUACUGAGGAGCUUGAGUCCGGGAGAGGUGAGUGGGAACUGCGAGUGUAGAGGUGAAAUUCGUAGAUAUUCGCAAGAACACCAGUGGCGAAGGCGGCUCACUGGCCCGGUACUGACGCUGAGGUGCGAAAGCGUGGGGAGCAAACAGGG